rnacentral:ncRNA from 2 species
AAUAAAGAAAAAACCUCUUUCUGUAUAAUGCCGAUAAUAAGGUUCGGCAGUUUCUACCAAACAGCCGUAAACUGUUUGACUACAGUAAGAGGGGUCUGAGAU